GAUGAACGCUGGCGGCGUGCUUAACACAUGCAAGUCGAACGAUGAAGCCCAGCUUGCUGGGUGGAUUAGUGGCGAACGGGUGAGUAACACGUGAGUAACCUGCCCUUAACUCUGGGAUAAGCCUGGGAAACUGGGUCUAAUACCGGAUAGGAGCGUCCACCGCAUGGUGGGUGUUGGAAAGAUUUAUCGGUUUUGGAUGGACUCGCGGCCUAUAAGCUUGUUGGUGAGGUAAUGGCUCACCAAGGCGACGACGGGUAGCCGGCCUGAGAGGGUGACCGGCCACACUGGGACUGAGACACGGCCCAGACUCCUACGGGAGGCAGCAGUGGGGAAUAUUGCACAAUGGGCGAAAGCCUGAUGCAGCGACGCCGCGUGAGGGAUGACGGCCUUCGGGUUGUAAACCUCUUUCAGUAGAGAAGAAGCGAAAGUGACGGUACCUGCAGAAGAAGCACCGGCUAACUACGUG
rnacentral:rRNA from 1 species